rnacentral:rRNA from 1 species
UGAUUUCCUACGGGAGGCAGCAGUAAGGGAUAUUGCACAAUGGGCGCAAGCCUGAUGCAGCAACGCCGCGUGCCCGAUGAAGGCCUUCGGGUCGUAAAGGGCUUUCUGGCUGAAGAGGAAGGACAGUAAGCCAGGAAUAAGUGUCGGCUAACUACGUGCCAGCAGCCGCGGUAAAACGUAGGACGCAGCGUUAUCCGGAGUUACUGGGCGUAAAGCGCGGGCAGGCGGCCACGCAAGUCUGAUGUGAAAUCUCCCUGGCUCAACCGGGAGAAGCCAUUGGAAACUACGGGGCUGGAGUCUGGCAGAGGUAGGCGGAAUUCCGGGUGGAGUGGUGAAAUGCGUAGAGAUCCGGAGGAACACCAGAGGCGAAGGCGGCCUACUGGGCCAGCACUGACGCUGAGCCGCGAAAGCCAGGGGAGCGAACGGGAUUAGAAACCCCGGUAGUCCUGGCCGUAAACGAUGUGCGCUGGGUGGUGGGGAGUUACUCCUCACUGCCGAAGCCAACGCGAUAAGCGCACCGCCUGGGGAGUACGGUCGCAAGGCUAAAACUCAAAGGAAUUCGGUCCCGCACAAGCAGCGGAGCGUGUGGUUUAAUGGCAACGCGAAGAACCUUACCUGGGCUUGACAUGGGAGUGGUAGGGAACCGAAAGGGGACCGACCUUCGGGAGCUUCCACAGGUGCUGCAUGGCUGUCGUCAGCUCGUGCCUGAGGUGUUAGGUUAAGUCCUGUAACGAGCGCAACCCUCGCUGCCAGUUACAAGUGUCUGGCGGGAUUGCCGGUGACAAACCGGAGGAAGGUGGGGAUGACGUCAAGUCAGCAUGGCCUUUAUGUCCAGGGCGACACACACGCUACAAUGGCCGGUACAACGGGAUGCCAAGCCGCGAGGCGGAGCCAAUCUCCCAAAGCCGGUCGUAGUUCGGAUUGCAGGCUGCAACUCGCCUGCAUGAAGCCGGAGUUGCUAGUAACCGCAGGUCAGCCACACUGCGGUGAAUA